GGCAAAUGCGGGUCGGCGGCAAUGGACCGGGCGUGCUCGAACCACUCGAUGACGACGGCGUUCAGCGCCGGGUUCGACUGCUCGAUCCGCUG
rnacentral:tRNA from 1 species